rnacentral:rRNA from 1 species
GCAAGUCGAACGCGACCUUACUCUUCGGAGUAAGAGAGAGUGGCGGACGGGUGAGUAACGCGUGGGAACCUGCCUUGCAGUAAGGGAUAACUUCGGGAAACCGAAGCUAAUACCGUAUACGCCCUUAUGGGGAAAGAUUUAUCGCUGUAAGAUGGGCCCGCGUUAGAUUAGGUAGUUGGUAGGGUAAUGUCCUACCAAGCCGAUGAUCUAUAGGGGGUCUGAGAGGAUGAUC